rnacentral:lncRNA from 1 species
GAGACUCUUUUGGAGCCAGCAAAAGAUACUUAAAGGGAUGAUGGUUCAACAACUUCUACAGCAGUUCUAGUUGGCAAUCAUUUAUAUGUUGCUAAUGUUGAAGAUUCUUGAACUAUAAUAUCAAAGAUGAAGGAACUUGGAAGAAGCCAAGUCUUCGGUUCAUUAGGGAGCCUUGUUGUACUGAAAAUGCUUGGAGUUGUGCCAUACAAGUGUUCAGUAGGAUUAUGCUGGCUAUGAUUGGCAACAUUCUUGUAAGAACCUGAAUUUCCUCGACUUCUGUCAUUAUACAAACUGUCCAUGGGGUGGGAUUUGCAUUGUCACCAAGAACUGCGGCUUUGUCUAGGCACCGGCCUCAAGUCG